GCAGCCUGAUCAGCCAUGCCGCGUGAGUGAAGAAGGCCUUCGGGUUGUAAAGCUCUUUCAGUCGGGAAGAAACGGGGUUCUCUAACAUAGGGCUCUAAUGACGGUACCGACAGAAGAAGCACCGGCUAACUACGUGCCAGCAGCCGCGGUAAUACGUAGGGUGCGAGCGUUAAUCGGAAUUACUGGGCGUAAAGCGUGCGCAGGCGGUUUUGUAAGACAGGUGUGAAAUCCCCGGGCUUAACCUGGGAACUGCGCUUGUGACUGCACGGCUAGAGUACGGCAGAGGGGGGUGGAAUUCCACGUGUAGCAGUGAAAUGCGUAGAGAUGUGGAGGAACACCGAUGGCGAAGGCAGCCCCCUGGGCCGAUACUGACGCUCAUGCACGAAAGCGUGGGGAGCAAACAGGAUUAGAUACCCUGGUAGUCCACGCCCUAAACGAUGUCGACUAGUCGUUCGGAGAGGUAACUCUGUGAGUGACGCAGCUAACGCGUGAAGUCGACCGCCUGGGGAGUACGGUCGCAAGAUUAAAACUCAAAGGAAUUGACGG
rnacentral:rRNA from 1 species